GACGAACGCUGGCGGCGUGCCUAAUACAUGCAAGUCGAACGCAGUGGGGACGGGUGAGUAACCCGUGGGUAACCUCCCAUCAGAGGGGGAUACACUUGGAAACACGUGCUAAGCCGAUACUGAUGGAUGGACCCGCGGGGCAUUAGCUAGUGGGUGGGGUAACGGCUCACCAAGGCCACGAUGCAUAGCGGGGCUGAGAGGGUGAUCGGCCACACUGGGACUGAGACACGGCCCAGACUCCUACGGGAGGCAGCAGGAGGGAAUAUUCGGCAAUGGACGAAAGUCUGACCGAGCAACGCCGCGUGAGUGAAGAAGGUUUUCGGAUCGUAAAGCUCUGUUGUUAGGGAAGCGGUAUCUAACCAGAAAGCAACGGCUAACUACGUGCCAGCCGCCGCGGUAAUAC
rnacentral:rRNA from 1 species